rnacentral:rRNA from 1 species
GAUGAACGCUGGCGGCGUGCCUAAUACAUGCAAGUCGAGCGAACGGACGAGAAGCUUUCUUCUCUGAUGUUAGCGGCGGACGGGUGAGUAACACGUGGAUAACCUACCUAUAAGACUGGGAUAACUUCGGGAAACCGUAGCUAAUACCGGAUAAUAUUUUGAACCGCAUGGUUCAAAAGUGAAAGACGGUCUUGCUGUCACUUAUAGAUGGAUCCGCGCUGCAUUAGCUAGUUGGUCAGGUAACGGCUUACCAAGGCAACGAUGCAUAGCCGACCUGAGAGGGUGAUCGGCCACACUGGAGCUGAGACACGGUCCAGACUCCUACGGGAGGCAGCAGUAGGGAAUCUUCCGCAAUGGGCGAAAGCCUGACGGAGCAACGCCGCGUGAGUGAUGAAGGUAUUCGGAGCGUAAAACUCUGUUAUUAGGGAAGAACAUAUGUGUAAGUAACUGUGCACAUCUUGACGGUACCUAAUCAGAAAGCCACGGCUAACUACGUG